rnacentral:tRNA from 1 species
GGGGGUAUAGCUCAGUGGGGAGAGCAUCCGACUGCAGAUCGGAUUGUCCUCGGUUCAACCUCGGGUGCCCUUC